CUCUGGUUCCCAGAAGAAAGUUAAGAGAACUCUGCCAAAUCCACCUCCUGAGGAAGCUUCCACAGGAACUCCAUCAACCUUCAGCACAAUGGGCACUGUGUCCAGGAGAAGGAUCUGCAGAACCAACACCAUGGCUCGAGCCAAGAUUCUCCAGGACAUAGACAGAGAGCUUGAUCUUGUAGAAAGGGAAUCUGCAAAGCUCAGAAAGAAACAAGCAGAACUGGAUGAAGAAGAAAAGGAGAUUGAUGCCAAAUUGCGAUAUCUGGAAAUGGGAAUUAACAGGAGAAAAGAGGCUUUAUUAAAGGAGAGGGAAAAGAGGGAGCGAGCAUACCUCCAGGGGGUAGCUGAGGAUCGUGAUUACAUGUCUGACAGUGAAGUCAGCAGCACCAGGCCAACCCGAAUUGAAAGUCAGCAUGGCAUUGAGCGACCAAGAACUGCCCCCCAAACUGAAUUCAGCCAGUUCAUACCACCACAGACACAAACAGAUUCUCAGCUGGUCCCUCCAACGAGUCCUUACACACAAUACCAGUAUUCUUCCCCUGCUCUUCCUACCCAAGCACCCACCCCAUACACCCAACAAUCCCAUUUUCAGCAACAAACUCUGUACCAUCAGCAAGUUUCACCUUAUCAAACCCAACCGACUUUCCAAGCAGUGGCAACAAUGUCUUUUACACCCCAAGCUCAACCUACACCAACCCCACAACCAUCUUACCAGCUACCAUCACAGAUGAUGGUGAUACAACCGAAGCCUCGGCAAACCACAUUGUAUUUAGAGCCCAAGAUAACUUCAAACUACGAAGUGAUUCGCAAUCAACCCCUGAUGAUAGCACCUGUUUCUACUGACAAUACAUAUGCUGUUUCCCAUCUUGGUAGUAAGUACAAUAGCUUAGACUUGAGAAUAGGUUUGGAGGAACGAAGUAGCAUGGCAAGCAGUCCAAUAUCAAGCAUAUCUGCAGAUUCUUUCUAUGCAGAUAUUGACCAUCAUACUUCACGAAAUUAUGUCCUAAUUGAUGACAUUGGAGAAAUAAGCAAAGGAACAGCAGCAUUAAGCAGUGCAUUUAGCCUUCAUGAAAAGGAUCUGUCGAAAACAGAUCGUCUCCUUAGAACCACUGAGGCACGUAGGUCUCAAGAAGUGACGGAUUUCCUAGCACCUUUACAGAGUUCCUCCAGAUUGCAUAGUUAUGUGAAGGCAGAGGAAGAUCCAAUGGAGGAUCCUUAUGAGUUAAAGCUUCUGAAACAUCAGAUUAAGCAAGAAUUCCGCAGAGGGACAGAGAGCUUAGAUCACCUUGCUGGCCUUUCACAUUAUUACCAUGCUGAUACCAGCUAUAGACAUUUUCCAAAAUCUGAAAAGUAUAGCAUCAGUAGACUCACACUUGAAAAACAAGCAGCCAAACAAUUGCCAGCAGCCAUACUUUAUCAAAAGCAGUCAAAGCAUAAGAAAUCACUAAUAGACCCUAAAAUGUCCAAAUUUUCACCCAUCCAAGAAAGUAGAGACCUUGAACCUGACUAUUCGAGCUAUAUGACUUCUAGUACUUCUUCUAUUGGUGGUAUUUCUUCUAGGGCAAGGCUUCUUCAAGAUGACAUCACUUUUGGCCUCAGAAAAAAUAUUACAGACCAACAAAAAUUUAUGGGAUCAUCACUGGGCUCAGGAUUGGGCACAUUAGGAAAUACCAUACGAUCAGCUCUACAGGAUGAAGCAGAUAAGCCAUAUAGCAGUGGCAGCAGGUCCAGACCUUCCUCCAGGCCUUCAUCUGUCUAUGGGCUUGAUUUAUCAAUUAAAAGGGAUUCUUCCAGCUCGUCACUGAGACUGAAAGCUCAAGAAGCUGAAGCUUUAGAUGUUUCCUUUAGUCAUGCAUCAUCCUCUGCCAGAACUAAGCCUACCAGUUUGCCAAUUAGCCAGAGUAGAGGAAGGAUACCUAUUGUGGCACAGAAUUCUGAAGAAGAAAGUCCACUAAGUCCAGUUGGACAACCCAUGGGAAUGGCUAGAGCUGCAGCUGGACCCCUGCCACCAAUAUCUGCAGACACCAGGGACCAGUUUGGAUCAAGUCACUCAUUGCCUGAGGUUCAGCAACACAUGAGAGAAGAAUCACGAACUCGGGGCUAUGACCGUGACAUAGCAUUCAUCAUGGAUGACUUCCAACAUGCCAUGUCAGACAGUGAAGGUAAAUUGGGCCUCAGACUACCCUGUUACUAUCAAAACUCAAACUCUCAUUUUUCUGCAUGUUUAAUUUUCCUUCUCCAAGGAUGUAUUCUACCUUUCUUGGUGUGUGUUAUGCAUGUUUACUUCAAUUUUAUUUCUUGUACAUGGAAAAUUUAUCUUGUGUAUAG
rnacentral:lncRNA from 1 species